rnacentral:lncRNA from 1 species
UUUCCUUAUGCUUGUGAGAGACCUAUGUCUAUGGUUGUGGUUGAGUCGUCAAAUCUCCCUAACCAAGAUGUAGAGGAGUUGGAAGACGCACUCGCCAAGAUGAAGCAAGAGAAGGAUAUGUGGGAAGAGCGGUUCCAUGCUUUGAGCAGAAAGCAUAAGGAGUUGCAGCUUGAGUCUAAGGAUAAAGAUGCACUUAUUGAACUUCUUGAAGACCGAGCAGUGAAGAGACAGAGAGAG